AAAAGCAAAACAGAAGUUGCCAUCUCAUCCUCUGCUCUAGUUGUCUCAUUUUACCUUCUGAAAUGAUGGAGGAAGUUCUGCUGAGGAUGGGGUCAGGGUAACAGCAGACUUCUGAAUAACUCUGCACCCCCAGAAACCUGCAAAGGACACAGGCCCUCUUGGUGGUCUCCUCCUGGAUGCCUUGCUUUCUCCUGGAAGAGUCCUCCCUUCCAUCCCGGAUAUCACUGUGAACCUGAUUCCCCAGGAUCAACCAUCUGAGCAGAUACCUUGGAAUGUCCCCAGAUUUCAGAGAAUUCCAAAGAAGAUAGAAAUGGAGUUAGGAAGGAGAUUUUUGCCCUCCUGGCUCUUGUCUUCCUUCUCCACUUCAAGAUGAGAUUCCUGAAACUCUUGUUAUCUUGUUAUCAACCUAAGGAUGAAUGUAACACCUACGGGAGGGCGGAACCGAGUAUUCUCCCCUGGAGCCUGAGAUAUUUCUGGACUUCCUAGCAUGUGAUAUAAUAAUUUAUUAUUGUGUUAUAUCAUAUUAAGUUGGGGGCUCUGUUACCUGCAUCAGAAAUCUUCCUCAUAGCCAUAGGUUGGUUCAUUUAAUCUUCACUGCUGUCCAUGUGGUAUCUAUCUCCUUUUUAUAGGUUAAGAAAUGCAUUUAAGUUAAUACAGCUAGUAAGCAUCAAAGCCCCAAAUUCAAUCCAGUUCUGAGUUUUAAAAAUCCCUAACAUGUGGCUGGGUGCGGUGGCUCAUGCCUGUAAUCCCAGCACUUUGGGAGGCUGAGGUGGGCAGAUCACGAGGUCAGGAGUUCGAGAUCAGCCUGGCCAACAUGGUGAAACUCCGUCUCUAUUAAAAAUACAAAAAUUAGCUGGGUGUGGUGGCAUGCACCUGUAGUCCCAGCUACUCUGGAGGCUGAGGCAGAAGAAUCACUUGAACCCAGGAGGCAGAGGUUGCAGUGAGCUGAGAUCGCACCACUGCAUUCCAGCCUGCGUGACAGAGCAGUACUCAGUCUUUAAAAAAAAAAAAAAAUCCCUAACAUGUGUGUCUUAGUCCAUUUUAUGCUGCUAUAACAGAAUACCACAGGCUGAGUAAUUUGUAAUGAACAGAAAUGUAUUUGGCUUACAGUUCUAAAAGCUGGAAAGCCCAAGAUUCAGGGGCUGCAUCUGGUGAGGGCCUCCUUGCUGCAUCGUAACACAGCAGAAGACAUCACAUGAUGAGAGUGAGAGCUCAGACUGGCAGCAGCGAGUCUUUUCACAGUCAGCAUUAAUCCAUUCAUGAUGGUGGAGGCCUCGUGACCUAAACACCCACCAUCAGGCUCCACCUCCCAACACUGUUGCAUUGGGAAUUCAGUUUCCAGCAUACGCUUUUUAGGGGACAUAUUCAAACCAUAGUGAUGUCUUCAUUUUAUAUCUGUAGGAGAGUCAUGAUUUUAUCUUUUUUUUUUUAGUUUUUUUUUUUUUUUUUUUUUGAUAAAAGUCACUCUGUCGCCCAGGCUAGAGUGCAGUAGCAUGAGUUGGGCUCACUGCAACCUUCGCCUCCUGGGUUCAAGUGAUUCUUCUGCCUCAGCCUCCUGAGCAGCUGGGAAUACAGGCACGUGCCACCAUGCCCGGCUAAUUUUUGUAUUUUUAGUAGAGAUGGGGUUUCACCAUAUUGGCCAGCCUGGUGUCGAACUCCUGACCUCAUGAUCCGCCUGCCUUGGCCUCCCAAAGUGCUGGGAUUACAGGCGUGGGCCACCGCGCCCGGCCAAGUUGUUCUUAAAUAAGAAGUAUAGGCCAGGCACGGUGGCUCAUGCCU